GUGUGUGUUAGUGGAAGCGUCUGGAAAGGCGCGCGAUACAGGGUGACAGCCCCGUACACAAAAAUGCACAUACUGUGAGCUCGAUGAGUAGGGCGGGACACGUGGUAUCCUGUCUGAAUAUGGGGGGACCAUCCUCCAAGGCUAAAUACUCCUGACUGACCGAUAGUGAACCAGUACCGUGAGGGAAAGGCGAAAAGAACCCCGGCGAGGGGAGUGAAAAAGAACCUGAAACCGUGUACGUACAAGCAGUGGGAGCCUCUUAAUGGGGUGACUGCGUACCUUUUGUAUAAUGGGUCAGCGACUUAUAUUCUGUAGCAAGGUUAACCGAAUAGGGGAGCCGAAGGGAAACCGAGUCUUAACUGGGCGUUAAGUUGCAGGGUAUAGACCCGAAACCCGGUGAUCUAGCCAUGGGCAGGUUGAAGGUUGGGUAACACUAACUGGAGGACCGAACCGACUAAUGUUGAAAAAUUAGCGGAUGACUUGUGGCUGGGGGUGAAAGGCCAAUCAAACCGGGAGAUAGCUGGUUCUCCCCGAAAGCUAUUUAGGUAGCGCCUCGUGAAUUCAUCUCCGGGGGUAGAGCACUGUUUCGGCAAGGGGGUCAUCCCGACUUACCAACCCGAUGCAAACUGCGAAUACCGGAGAAUGUUAUCACGGGAGACACACGGCGGGUGCUAACGUCCGUCGUGAAGAGGGAAACAACCCAGACCGCCAGCUAAGGUCCCAAAGUCAUGGUUAAGUGGGAAACGAUGUGGGAAGGCCCAGACAGCCAGGAUGUUGGCUUAGAAGCAGCCAUCAUUUAAAGAAAGCGUAAUAGCUCACUGGUCGAGUCGGCCUGCGCGGAAGAUGUAACGGGGCUAAACCAUGCACCGAAGCUGCGGCAGCGACACUAUGUGUUGUUGGGUAGGGGAGCG
rnacentral:rRNA from 1 species